AUUGAACGCUGGCGGAAUGCUUUACACAUGCAAGUCGAACGGCAGCACGGACUUCGGUCUGGUGGCGAGUGGCGAACGGGUGAGUAAUGUAUCGGAACGUGCCCAGUCGUGGGGGAUAACGUAGUGAAAAUUACGCUAAUACCGCAUACGAUCUAUGGAUGAAAGCGGGGGAUCGCAAGACCUCGCGCGAUUGGAGCGGCCGAUAUCAGAUUAGGUAGUUGGUGGGGUAAAGGCCCACCAAGCCAACGAUCUGUAGCUGGUCUGAGAGGACGCCCAGCCCAACUGGAACUGAGACACGGUCCAGACUCCUACGGGAGGCAGCAGUGGGGAAUUUUGGACAAUGGGCGAAAGCCUGAUCCAGCCAUUCCGCGUGCAGGAUGAAGGCCCUCGGGUUGUAAACUGCUUUUGUACAGAACGAAAAGGUUUCUACUAAUACUAGGAGCUCAUGACGGUACUGUAAGAAUAAGCACCGGCUAACUACGUGCCAGCAGCCGCCGUAA
rnacentral:rRNA from 1 species